UUGCGCAGCGCUGCUAAAAACUCACUCGGAAAUACAGGCUGUCACGGCCGUCGUUGUGUCGCACAUAGCCGCCACAGAGGUGCAAGGCGCAUAGUUUUCGUUCUCGACUGCUCUUCGCAGCGUAAGUGCACCCUGUAGGUUUUUUCCUGUUCUCGUUUUGUGCUUCGCUCGAAACCCUACAAGACAUGCCGCCAAAACGCUGGGCGAGGCCGAACCAGAAGGGCGCAAAUGGCGAGAACGCCUACACGACCGCCGCGCUGCUACAGUUUAUAUGCGAUGAGGUCCGCAGCAAUAAUUGCCUCGGCCUGUCGGAGGAGGAGCUAACUGGGAUGGCAGCCGAGCUGGUGCACGUAAAGACGCGUGCAGAGGUGUCGGAGUGGGCCAAAACGCUGAUGCUGUCAGACGCCUUUGCUGCGGAGGUGACUAAGCGGCGAGAGCAGUCGGGCCCAGCCUUUGAGGCUGAGAGUGUCUUGAACGCGCCGUCGAGCUCGACCGCAUCGGCCGGUGGAGGUGAAGGUGGUACGCUCAACGUAACGAAGCGCGGCGCCGGAGGUGCGAAGCGAGGCAAGCGCGGCGCCAAUGCCGAUCAGAACCCCAAGACAAGCGCAUCCGCCGAGGCACUGAAGCCGGGCCGCUUUGAGUGCGGGUGCUUUGCCACUGUCCACAACCUGCGUGGAAGCUGCGCUAACUGCGGCCGGGUCAUCUGCGAGCAGGAGGCGGACGACGUGUGCUACGCCUGUGGACUGGAGCCGUCCCGAUGCAUCGCGUACGAGAUCUCGGUCCAGGAGGGCAAGCUGAGCGAGGCGGCCCAGCAGCGUAAUGAGGAGGACUAUACAUCAGCGGUGGAGCGGCGCGACCGCUUACUGGAGUACGCGCAGAAUCGCGCGAAGCGAACUACCGUUAUCGACGACCAGUCAGCGACGCUGUUCUCGCCGCAGAGUGCGUGGAUGUCGCCAGAGGAGCGCCGAGCGGCCGAGAAGUCUGCCGCGGAAACGGAGCGGCAGCGCAACAUCGAGCUCAUGCACCGCCAGUGCGGCGCCUAUCAGGUACAUAUGGAGUUUGUGUCGCAGAACCUGGCGCUGGGGGCGCGCAAGGAGAAUUCCGGCGGAGCGGGCGGAGACGGAGCCGUCACGGAGGCUGGUGCGGAGGACGAGGAGCCUCACGAUGCGGGCCAAAGAGUUGUGCCCACCGGCGCAGAGCCGCUUCCGUCGCUGCUGCAGAAAAUCUGGUACAGCCCCGACGGCACGCGAGUCGAGUCGGCUCCUAGUGGCAAAAAGGACAAGCGCGGAGGUGGGCGCUGUGGCAAUGCUGUGGACUUAAACUUGCCAGCUCAAGAGGGGUCCUCAAUGCCUAUGACAUCGCGACCAACGCAGCGCCGCUUCGAGGAGGUAUCUCGACGAGUGCAGCAGAGCUAUUUUGAAGAAGAUGUGGAGGUUUUUGCUGAGGAGAAGGAGGAGGCCGAAAGAACAAAGUCGAAGCUCAUUGUUGUGUCUCAGGCGCUGAUUGAGGACGAUCAAGACGCGGCGAUCGAGCACGGCACGGAAGCCGCCGGUGGCUCCACCAGCCCGCCGCUCGUGGAUCCAUCUGCUGUGGCGUUGCCCUCUCGCUUCGCCGUGACAUCCAUUAUGCGCAACACGGAUGAUGGCAUUUGUUUGUCCAUGCACCAGCCGUGGGCGAGCCUGCUCGUGGCCGGUAUAAAGCGACACGAAGGCCGCGUGUGGGGGACCACGUAUCGCGGUCGUCUGUGGAUUCACGCGGCCGCGUCGCAGCCGACAAACGUGGAGGAGGUGGAGGCACAGUACUCAAAGUUUAUGCCGCCAGGCCAGGUGUUCCCGAAGCACUAUCCUACCAAAGUACUGCUUGGGUACGUCUAUGUGACGGACUGCCUCGAUCGAGAGGCGUACGAGAUUGCAUUCAAGCCGGAGGAACGCCAAGAGGAGUCUCCGUACUCUUUUAUUUGUGUGGAGCCAAAGGCGCUACUUUUUCCGCUGCCCAUGUGCGGCAAUCACAAGCUGUUCUCUCUCGAGCACCGUGUACACGUUGCUGCGCGGAAGCAACUGGGCGAGAUAGAUUGAGGCUGCACACAAGGGGAUGGAGGUGGCAUGAGACGGGCGACCUGUGCGAGGUGUGGCGCACUUGUUGUGGGACCGCAGGCCCUCGUCUUUGGCGUUUUCCACAUAGUGGCCCGUGGCGGCUUUUUGUUUUGGUGAUGUGUGGGACCUGCACGGCGGGUGCCAGUGCCGCGUUUUUUUACCUUGUUGUAUUUCAAUUCAGGUGACAUCGCAGGCCGGCAGCUUCUGUCUCGCAUGCACCCCCACCCCUCCUUCUCCCAUUGCCGCGCUCAGCUAGUG
rnacentral:misc_RNA from 1 species